rnacentral:rRNA from 1 species
GGGCGCACGGUGAAUGCCUAGGCACAAUGAGGCGAAGAAGGACGUGACGAACCACGAAAGGCUUCGGGGAGCAGUAAGUACGCAAAGAUCCGGAGAUAUCCGAAUGGGGGAACCCAAUGCAUGCAGAUGCAUUACCAGGUGGUGAAUCAAUAGCCACCUGGGGCAAGACGCAGUGAACUGAAACAUCUAAGUAGCUGCAGGAAGAGAAAGAAAAAUCGAUUUCCCUAGUAGCGGCGAGCGAAG